CUGUAUCCAGGGAUGAGAAAGAUCAAAGUCUGCAGCGUUCAUGAUGCUUCCUGAGAGUAUUCUGGUCCACUAGCAUUGCAUCGAUGGUCAGGAUGUUUGCUCUAAGAAGCAGCAGCUACCCUAAUCAUUAAAUAGUGGAACACAAACUUCUGCAGCGUAGAAGGAAUAACAGAAGAGCAGAUUAAGCAAAAGCAAGCUGUAAUAAGGGCAAGUUCUGCUUGAGAGGGGACAGGAAACCAUUGGUUGCUUGUCAAGGGCAAGGUCAGAGACAGCAAAAGAGAGUGAAGUAUAGAGGAUGAACUAAGUACUAAAGCACACUUUAAAGUGCUCUUUAAAAAAACACAAACAAGAAAAGUUACCCAAGAGACUAAUAUAAAGAGGAAUGGGAGGCAAACCCCCCAACAAUGCAUUGACUUUUUCCUCCAGAAAAGCUUCUAAGGAACAAUAGAGAAGAACCAGCAAUCCUCAAAAUAUCACUCUAAAAGUGUUUGUUAUUGUAAAGGGUUUCAGAGACUGUAAAAAUGCUUUUC